AGGCGAUUUAAUAAUUUUGACGUUUGUGUUUCAUAAUAGAAAUAUAUCAUAAUGACAUAUAAUAGAACAAUAUCAUAUAUAAGUUUCUAUUCAAGUUCCUUGGUUUCGGAUUUUGUCCAUACACCAUCGUCCUAUUAGGUUUCUUUUAGUUUUCUUUCCAUUAUACAAGAAAAAAUACAACAAAAUUCACCAAUGCAGAACAAUGCAAGAAGAUACACCACAUCACCAAUUUUGAUUCAAUGCAAUUAAAAAAGAAACAAAGAAACAACCAGAUGCUCCGCAGGGCGCAGCUUUAUACGACCGCAGAGGUUGAACCCUGAACGGUUGGGGCAAGUAUGGACACAACAUUCAAGCUGGAUUCAGCUCUAAAUUUGGAUUGUGAUUAAAUAGUUGACACAGCAUAGGUUUCUGACACAGAAUGAAUGUGGUCUAAUGAACUUAAAAUACUUUUUUUUCCUUUGAGCAAGUCACUAUGCUGUUGAAUAUUAAUCCUCUCAAAAAAAAGGUAUGAAGAAAUUUUCUUUUUAUGUAUGAAAUCUGAAAUGAGAAAAAUUUAACCCCCCCCCCCCCCCCCCAUUUUUUUUUUCACAUCCCCCUUUCCCUUUUUCCAAAACUGAUCUCAAUUCAAAUUUCUAAUGGAGUUUGCAACAAUAACUACUCAUUUAAAUACAUCAUAAAAUAUUAAAAUGUAACAAAAGGU
rnacentral:lncRNA from 1 species